rnacentral:rRNA from 1 species
AGAUACCCCCUGUAGUCCCAGCCGUAAACUAUGCGCGUUAGGUGUAUCGGUGACCACGAGUCACCGAGGUGCCGAAGGGAAACCGUGAAACGUGCCGCCUGGGAAGUACGGUCGCAAGGCUGAAACUUAAAGGAAUUGGCGGGGAGCACCACAACGGGUGGAGCCUGCGGUUUAAUUGGACUCAACGCCGGGAAGCUCACCGGAUAAGACAGCGGAAUGAUUGCCGGGCUGAAGACUCUGCAUGACUAGCUG